rnacentral:rRNA from 2 species
CUCAGGAUGAACGCUGGCGGCGUGCCUAAUACAUGCAAGUCGAACGAGUUCUCGUUGAUGAUCGGUGCUUGCACCGAGAUUCAACAUGGAACGAGUGGCGGACGGGUGAGUAACACGUGGGUAACCUGCCCUUAAGUGGGGGAUAACAUUUGGAAACAGAUGCUAAUACCGCAUAGAUCCAAGAACCGCAUGGUUCUUGGCUGAAAGAUGGCGUAAGCUAUCGCUUUUGGAUGGACCCGCGGCGUAUUAGCUAGUUGGUGAGGUAAUGGCUCACCAAGGCGAUGAUACGUAGCCGAACUGAGAGGUUGAUCGGCCACAUUGGGACUGAGACACGGCCCAAACUCCUACGGGAGGCAGCAGUAGGGAAUCUUCCACAAUGGACGCAAGUCUGAUGGAGCAACGCCGCGUGAGUGAAGAAGGCUUUCGGGUCGUAAAACUCUGUUGUUGGAGAAGAAUGGUCGGCAGAGUAACUGUUGUCGGCGUGACGGUAUCCAACCAGAAAGCCACGGCUAACUACGUGCCAGCAGCCGCGGUAAUACGUAGGUGGCAAGCGUUAUCCGGAUUUAUUGGGCGUAAAGCGAGCGCAGGCGGUUUUUUAAGUCUGAUGUGAAAGCCCUCGGCUUAACCGAGGAAGCGCAUCGG